rnacentral:lncRNA from 1 species
AUCAUGUUUGUGCUUGAGUGGCUAGCGGUUAACAUAAGAGCAACAACAUUGAUACACAGUCUGUUGAGAGAUGUACAACUAAAUGUCAAAUGAUAUUUUUGUUCAAUCAGUUUUAAACUUGAACCAAUUUAAAUUGUUUUAUACUACUUUCUGUACAUAUUUUGAAAAGUAAAUGCAAGUAUUGACAAACUUAUACAAGCAUAGCAUCAUAAAUCAUGCUAGAGACCUGAAUAGAAUUUUCCCAAUCAUGUGUAUUGCAUAGUUUCUGGUAAUAUAUCACAUGAACAAAAAUUACAUAACUAUGUUUACAUAUUAACAUCACAAACAGGCAAAAGAUUCAUGACGAAAUUAUGACAAAGGAAAAUUCUGUAAUAAAAGGAUUUAAAAAAUUAAUAUAAGUAAACAAAAAAUGUUGAAUAUAUAGUAUAAUUGCUCUAAAAAUAAAAAUGGUUGAGUAUUUGAUCAUGAUUCAUGACAUUGGUGGUUAAUGCAGGCAUGCAUGCUUGUGUUAUGUAAAAAGGUUCAAUGUAACUCCUAAAAAGCAAAGUUAAUGGCCCUUACCAGUCAUUGGCUGGUAUGGUACAUACAGCAAUAUUCUUCUAUAUAAUCCAACAUGAUCUGUAACCAGAAUCUGCAUGGUUCUGCACAGGGUUGAUAUAGGUGCAUUGUGAGAACCCGCACAGGCAUGUUUUAGUCCCACAUCUAUUGUGUGCUUGGGAGAUCUUGGGUACUUAUAUAGGGCCAAGGAAACCAGAUAAUACCUCCGAGCUAGCCUUUAUGGGUGAGGUCCUAGGCCGCUAGAAAUAGUAUCAAAGCCGACCUGGCCAAUUGCCCACAUGGACAACAGGACAUUAUAGCACGGCCCUUUUCCGGCUGACCAUAGACCAAUCGUAGUGUUUGUGAUUGAAUUUGAUUGGAUUUAGAUCCUUAGCUUGGCGAGGAUGCAAAGGCUUAAACAAGAAAAAUGUGUGAGGGGAUGUGAGGGCGUGUUCAGUCCCACAUUAGUUGUAUGCAGGGAGAUUUUAAGUACUUAUAUACAGCUAAAGAAUCCAAAUAAUAUUUUCGGGCUAGCCUUUUUUGGUGAGGUUCUGGGUCAUUACAUGUUUACUGACCAGUAUGGGCCAUACAGACAGUACUUACUAUCUUAAAUUCUUCUAAAAAUUUCAAAGAAAUUCUUGACUAGACAUCUAUAUAAAUGUAUUCAUGUAACUCACACAAUUUGUGUAGUGCAUGCAAGGGAUAAUCAUUACUAUAAACAACAAGAGAUAUACAUUUACCUU